CUUUUAUAUAGUGUCGUUUUGUCGCUCAAUCCAAGAGGCCUUUGCCCUCCAUGACUGUAAAACUUGGAGCAGGGGAAUGGCACUGAGGGUGAAGAUUGAGAGAGAAACGGACUCGAUGGCCUCCAACCAUCCCCUUGAGAGACGAUGAAAGAAGAGGAGGACUGGGGUACCCCCAGACCUUCCUAUUGGUCCUAGGACAUAAGUUGCCCCCUGCUCUGGGGUGUCACCCUCACACCGGUGGUCUAAGUUAGAUUAGCAGAACAGGUAACCCAGCUAGUACCUAUCAAGGUGACCGAAGAAGGUAUCUCUACUUAGGACGCUGGUGGCUCGUCCCUUGUUGAGGAUUUGCCCAUGUUUGUGGAGCUGAGAGACCCUUCACGAGAUCAUCCCAUCACACCGGGCGGUUGUUCAAGCCGUGUAAGGGAAACCAUGCCUCCCCCAGAAAGGAUGACCCCUUAUAGCCCAUCCCCUAUGGGUCAUGUCUCCAUGAUGCGAGUAUUUAUAGCUGAAGAGGUAGCAUAGAUUGAGGCAGCUGAGGUCAGGGGCGAUUGUGUGGCUUUAGAAAUGCAGAACUGGCUAAGGAUCGUGCCUUUCGACUAGUGAUCUAUUUCAGAGAUGAAUUCAUAGUUGGUGUUUGGACUCGGAUGUACUGCUUUCCUGAGGACCGUCUAAGCUUGGGUAACAUGCCGGCACACAUGUUAUGCCAAAAGUGGAGGGUGACUCUCCCCCAGGUUUUUGUGCGUGUCACUGAAGCAUACUAUCGGGUGGAGAAGUUGUUAGACACAGCGGAGACCUUUCAUGCUUCCCUUGCAGUGAAGAAUGAGAAGAUCGCUUUUUGACCGAGCAGUUAAACAUCUUGUCAACUGGGAUGGUAUCCGCUCGAUCGAACAAGAAUGGAUGACCAUUCUUGAAGCCCAGAUUCCAAUGGUAGUAGAAGCUCAUAGGGCUAAGCAAUUCUGGUGAUCAGAUAGAGAGAGUUACUCGAUCGCCUUACAAGUGUUCAGUCAGAUUUAGACUCUACUAAAGCUCAUUUCCAAGAAGGAGAUGCCACCUUACAGUGCGAAUGUGCAAUGAGGGAAGAAAUCAAGCAACGGGUGCCCUGUUCGAAAGUCGAUUUUAGGUCCUUGCAGGACCAAUAGUCUGUCAGGCAAGGUGAAGUGGGUGGAGGCAUCAGGACUUGAAUGCCUGUGUAUAUAUUGUUUUUUCUUUUUUUAUAAACCUUCCUUAAAUGACUGAUAUUUCUUCUA